AUUUUCAGUUUUCAAAGGCCCGAGACUACAACCCCAUACGAAUCUAAAAAGGUGGCCGAACAGCGUUAAUCUGAACACCUUGACCUCACGAUAAGCGCUGCGAUGACGUCUGAAACUGGUAGAAGUGAAGAUGAAGACCAAAAUUGAGAAGACGGCGUGCUGGCGAGCGAAGCAUUACGAGGAGAGGCGUGCCUCCGCGGUGCACCUACACCCCGAGAAAUCACGAAUAAAAUUUUGUCUUAUCCAUGAAA
rnacentral:lncRNA from 1 species